CCGGCCAAAGCAAAGAACAAAGAGAAAAGAGUAGAAACAAACCCUAGGGAGGAAAAUUCAAGAGAAAUUUGUUGAAUUUCAAAGAACAAAGCAAUCAUAGGUAAGAUUUUUCAAUUUUAGCUUAAAAUUUACCUUUCCCGUGCUUUCUUUUCCAUUUUCUAUGGUUGAAACACAAGUUUCCAUGAGGGAAUACUUGCUGGCUGAACUUAGGGAGAGAGGUUUUGAUGAUGGAUUUUGCUAGAUUUCAUGAUAUCUUAGUGUUUUUAGUUGUUUGAUGAUGUUUGGCAUUAAAAACAAGCAAGAAAAUCACAUGCCCUUCAACAAACCCUCUUUGGCCAAAUGUUAUAGGUGACAUGUUGAUGAUGGAUUUUGUUGUAUUUCAUGUUAUUUAGCUCGUAAUUGAUGAUUUAUGGUAUCAGAUAUCGAAAACCGUUAUCAAAAAGUAUAGUUCGUUUAGUAAACAACUUGAACAAUAAUGAGAAAAUCAUAGUGGAUCGACUUGGAUUUGAUUCUUAAUGAUAUAGAUGGAUUUAUUAGACUGUGUUAACACUGAUUCGCACGUUAGUUCGAAAUCAGAAUGAAUUUCGGUUACGAUGAAUUAAGUCACAAUCAAGCACAUUGAGGUACUUUGGUGUAUUUGGAAUAUUGGAAGUGUAAUGAAUAUAUUUGAAGUUGAAUCGGAUGUUUUGGUUAAUACAACAGUGUAUAGUUCGAGUUAGGUCGAAUACAAAUUCAGUCCGAUCAUAAUUGAACCCUUGUAGAACACCGUCUUUAAGUGAUUAUACGAACAAUUCUCAUUCAAUUUCAUACAUUCAUAUAGAGCCUGAAAUAGUUUUAUAACAGUUUGGCACAAAUAUAUUGAAUUACAUGUCGUGUAUUAUGUAUAGGUGGUGAGCCCUCUGAUAAGGGUAAAGAUAUCGUACCCGAGGACCAAGAAUAAGAGUACUCCAAACUCCCGUUAUUGUGAGUAAUCAAAUGUUCACCUUAACUAUCUAAAGUAGUUUAUACUCAUUUUUAUGAUUUUAAAGAAUAAUUAACUUAACCCGUAGAUUUUUAUGUUUUAUAAGUUAAAUGUUGGUUAAAUGAAUGAGAUUUAUAAAUUGUUUUGCAAUUCAAUGACGAUUUUUGAAAUUGAGUAGGUGGAGACUAUAUACUUAUGUUAUAUAUAUAUAUAUAUAUAUAUAUAUAUAUAUAUAUAUAUGGUUUGAAUUGAUGGCUUAUGACAAUGUGACGGCAUGAAUGGCUGGAUUUGUGGUUUGUGGAUUAUAUAAACUGUUUUGUUUUACCUUGACAGGCUGGGUAAUAUUAUAUUAGCCAUGUCAUGCUGUCGAAAUUUUUAUUGAUUUGGUGGGUUAUUUGAUUAGCUUACUGCAGUGGGCAGGUUUUCGUGGAUCAACCUAUUAGAGGGGCAAGGUAAACCCCAUUAUAUUUUAUGUUAGUACGAGAGGGGCGGAGGGUAUCUCCUAAGGUAAGUUUAGAGUUCACUUCACGUCGAACCACCACGUGAGGAUGAAACUCAGCCAACGCCAAGAAAUGGCUAUAUUUUAAAAGUAAAAACAUGUUUUUAUGGGUAUAUGUCGUUUUAACAUCCUUGGCGGACUCGGUUUGAUGCCCGGGCCAACGUGUCACCGAGUAUGAGUUUUGGCACAAGCAAAGUUUUUAAGAGAAUCAUAAGCCUUGUUGAUUAUUUCGAUGAAAUGUAAUUAUUUUAUAUGAAUUGAAAUGAUUUUAAAUGUUAUGAAUCAUAUUAUGAUGGGAUGAUUUAACUGUCUCCAUU
rnacentral:lncRNA from 1 species